CCUACGGGUGGCAGCAGUGGGGAAUAUUGGGCAAUGGAGGCAACUCUGACCCAGCAACGCCGCGUGAGCGAUGAAGGUCUUCGGAUUGUAAAGCUCUGUCGCAGGGGACGAAGUAUGACGGUACCCUGUAAGAAAGCCCCGGCAAACUACGUGCCAGCAGCCGCGGUAAUACGUAGGGGGCUAGCGUUGUCCGGAAUUACUGGGCGUAAAGGGAGUGUAGACGGCUUGACAAGUUAGGUGUGAAAGCCUGCGGCUUAACCGAAGAAUUGAACUUAAAACUGACUCGCGAGAGUGCAGGAGAGGUGAGUGGAAUUCGUGGUGGAGCGGUGAAAGGCGUAGAUAUAAGGAAGAA
rnacentral:rRNA from 1 species